AGAGUUUGAUCAUGGCUCAGGACGAACGCUGGCGGCGUGCCUAACACAUGCAAGUCGAGCGAGUGGAGUUCUUCGGAACAAAGCUAGCGGCGGACGGGUGAGUAACACGUGGGCAACCUGCCUCAUAGAGGGGAAUAGCCUUCCGAAAGGGAGAUUAAUACCGCAUAAGAUUGUAGCUUCGCAUGAAGUAGCAAUUAAAGGAGCAAUCCGCUAUGAGAUGGGCCCGCGGCGCAUUAGCUAGUUGGUGAGGUAACGGCUCACCAAGGCGACGAUGCGUAGCCGACCUGAGAGGGUGAUCGGCCACAUUGGGACUGAGACACGGCCCAGACUCCUACGGGAGGCAGCAGUGGGGAAUAUUGCACAAUGGGGGAAACCCUGAUGCAGCAACGCCGCGUGAGUGAUGACGGCCUUCGGGUUGUAAAGCUCUGUCUUCAGGGACGAUAAUGACGGUACCUGAGGAGGAAGCCACGGCUAACUACGUGCCAGCAGCCGCGGUAAUACGUAGGUGGCGAGCGUUGUCCGGAUUUACUGGGCGUAAAGGGAGCGUAGGCGGAUUUUUAAGUGAGAUGUGAAAUACU
rnacentral:rRNA from 1 species